rnacentral:rRNA from 1 species
AGUGAACGCUGGCGGCAGGCCUAACACAUGCAAGUCGAGCGGCAGCGGGUCCCCGCGAGGGGAUGCCGGCGAGCGGCGGACGGGUGAGGAACACAUCGGAAUCUGCCUGGUUGUGGGGGAUAACGUAGGGAAACUUACGCUAAUACCGCAUGCGACCCUGAGUCGACGGACUGGGGGUGAAAGUGAGGGACCUUCGGGCCUCACGCGACCAGAUGAGCCGAUGUCGGAUUAGCUAGUUGGCGGGGUAACGGCCCGCCAAGGCGACGAUCCGUAGCUGGUCUGAGAGGAUGAUCAGCCACACUGGGACUGAGACACGGCCCAGACUCCUACGGGAGGCAGCAGUGGGGAAUCUUGGACAAUGGGCGCAAGCCUGAUCCAGCCAUG